AGAGGGGGAAGGGGGGGACCAGGGGGUUGGUCCAAUUUUCACUGGUUUCCAGGACAAAUUUAAUUAAAUUUUAUAGAGUUCCGCUCAGGCCUGUCCUAAGGCUUGAGCUAUACUUUGAGAUACCUUGCUACAAAGGCUGGGCUGUUAUUUGAUCCUAUGAUUACUGGCAACUCGAAUCUAGAGGCAGUUUCUAUCCUAUGCUUCAACCU